rnacentral:rRNA from 1 species
AUUUCUAGCUUGCUAGAAGAUGGCGACCGGCGGACGGGUGCGUAACGCGUAUGCAACUUACCUACAUCUUAGGGAUAACGUAAAGAAAUUUUCGCUAAUACCUUAUAGUAUCAUUGAUUCGCAUGUUUCGAUGAUUAAAGAAUUUCGGAUGUAGAUAGGCAUGCGUCCUAUUAGUUUGUUGGUGAGGUAACGGCUCACCAAGACUACGAUAGGUAGGGGGCCUGAGAGGGUGAUCCCCCACACUGGUACUGAGACACGGACCAGACUCCUACGGGAGGCAGCAGUGAGGAAUAUUGGUCAAUGGAGGCAACUCUGAACCAGCCAUCCCGCGUGAAGGAUUGAAGGCGCUCGACGUCGUAAACUUCUUUUAUAUAGGAAUAAACCUUGGUACGUGUACCAAGCUGAAGGUACUAUAUGAAUAAGCAUCGGCUAACUCCGUGCCAGCAGCCGCGGUAAUACGGAGGAUGCGAGCGUUAUCCGGAUUUAUUGGGUUUAAAGGGUCCGCAGGCGGACCAAUCAGUCAGUGGUGAAAUCCAAUCGCUUAACGAUUGAACUGCCAUUGAUACUGUUGGUCUUGAGUCUAGUUGACGUAGGCGGAAUGUGACAUGUAGCGGUGAAAUGCAUAGAUAUGUCACAGAACACCAAUUGCGAAGGCAGCUUACGAAACUACGACUGACGCUCACGGACGAAAGCGUGGGUAA